rnacentral:rRNA from 1 species
AGGACGAACGCUGGCGGCGUGCCUAACACAUGCAAGUCGAGCGGAAAGGCCUCCUUCGGGAGGUACUCGAGCGGCGAACGGGUGAGUAACACGUGGGCAACCAACCCCUCACAUCGGGAUACCCCGGGGAAACUCGGAUCAAUACCGGAUAAUGCGCGACGCUGUUGGGCGUCGCACCAAAGGUAGCUUCGGCCUCUGGUGAGGGACGGGCCCGCGGCCCAUUAGCUUGUUGGUGGGGUAAUGGCCUACCAAGGCAACGAUGGGUAGCUGGUCUGAGAGGAUGAUCAGCCACACUGGGACUGAGAUACGGCCCAGACUCCUACGGGAGGCAGCAGUGGGGAAUAUUGCGCAAUGGGCGGAAGCCUGACGCAGCAACGCCGCGUGCGGGAGGAAGGCCUUCGGGUCGUAAACCGCUUUCAGGGGGACGAAGCCACCAGGGUUAAUAGCCCAUGGGGUGACGGUACUCCCAGAAGAAGCCCCGGCUAACUACGUGCCAGCAGCCGCGGU